rnacentral:rRNA from 1 species
UACGGGGGGGGGCAAGCGUUGUUCGGACUUACUGGGCGUAAAGGGCUCGUAGGUGGCCAACUAAGUCAGACGUGAAAUCCCUCGGCUUAACCGGGGAACUGCGUCUGAUACUGGAUGGCUUGAGUUCGGGAGAGGGAUGCGGAAUUCCAGGUGUAGCGGUGAAAUGCGUAGAUAUCUGGAGGAACACCGGUGGCGAAGGCGGCAUCCUGGACCGACACUGACACUGAGGAGCGAAAGCCAGGGGAGCAAACGGG